rnacentral:rRNA from 1 species
UACGGGGGGGGCAAGCGUUGUUCGGAAUUACUGGGCGUAAAGGGCGCGUAGGCGGCCUUGUUAGUCGAGUGUGAAAGCCCUGGGCUUAACCCGGGAAGCGCGCUUGAUACUGCAGGGCUUGAGUGUGGGAGAGGAUGAUGGAAUUCCCAGUGUAGAGGUGAAAUUCGUAGAUAUUCGCAAGAACACCAGCGGCGAAGGCGGCUCACUGGCCCGGUACUGACGCUGAGGUGCGAAAGCGUGGGGAGCAAACAGG